rnacentral:tRNA from 3 species
GGGCCGUUAGCUCAGUCGGUAGAGCAGGGGACUUUUAAUCCCAAGGUCGCGGGUUCGAUUCCCUCACGGCCCACCA